rnacentral:sRNA from 1 species
GCCAGGCAUGGUGGUGCAUACCUGUAAUCCCAGCAACUUUGGAGGCUGAGGCAGGAUGAUCACAAGUUUAAGGCCAGCCUCAGCAUCUAAGCGAGGUCCUAAGCAACUUAGCAAGACCCUGUUUCAA